CCUACGGGGGGCAGCAGUGGGGAAUAUUGGGCAAUGGGCGAAAGCCUGACCCAGCAACGCCGCGUGAAGGAAGAAGGCUUUCGGGUUGUAAACUUCUUUUGACAGGGAAGAGCAGAAGACGGUACCCCAAUAGCAAGCCACGGCUAACUACGUGCCAGCAGCCGCGGUAAUACGUAGGUGGCAAGCGUUAUCCGGAAUGACUGGGCGUAAAGGGUGCGUAGGUGGUUUCGUAAGUUGGCGGUGUAAUUCCGGGGCUCAACCUCGGCGCUACCGCCAAAACUAGUAGACUAGAGUGCAGGAGGGGUAAGUGGAAUUCCUAGUGUAGCGGUGGAAUGCGUAGAUAGUAGGAGGAACAUCAGGGGCGAAGGCGACUUACUGGACUGUAACUGACACUGAGGCACGAAAGCGUGGGGAGCAAACAGGAUUAGAUACCCUAGUAGUC
rnacentral:rRNA from 1 species